rnacentral:rRNA from 1 species
AUACGGACGGUGCAAGCGUUAUUCGGAAUCACUGGGCGUAAAGGACGCGUAGGCGGGUUGGCAAGUCAGAUGUGAAAUCCUACAGCUUAACUGUAGAACUGCAUUUGAAACUGCUAACCUAGAGUAUGGGAGAGGGAGAUGGAAUUAGUGGUGUAGGGGUAAAAUCCGUAGAUAUCACUAGGAAUACCGAAAGCGAAGGCGAUCUCCUGGAACAUAACUGACGCUAAGGCGUGAAAGCGUGGGGAGCAAACAGGAUUAGAUACCCUAGUAGUCC